GGGUUCCUGGCAGAGUGAUUU
rnacentral:miRNA from 17 species